rnacentral:rRNA from 1 species
UACGAAGGGGGCUAGCGUUGCUCGGAAUCACUGGGCGUAAAGCGCACGUAGGCGGGUCGUUAAGUCAGGGGUGAAAUCCUGGAGCUCAACUCCAGAACUGCCCUUGAUACUGGCGAUCUCGAGUUCGGGAGAGGUGAGUGGAACUGCGAGUGUAGAGGUGAAAUUCGUAGAUAUUCGCAAGAACACCAGUGGCGAAGGCGGCUCACUGGCCCGAUACUGACGCUGAGGCGCGAAAGCGUGGGGAGCAAACAGG